GGCAGAAGUAAAGCUGAAGUUCUCAACUCUUGGUUCCGCUGAGAAGUCCUCCAUCACUGCCAUGUCUGCCAGAUUGAAACAAGACUUUAUGAAUGUGUGCAUUAGCUCCAUGAGGGAGAGGAAUGACAGAAGAGGGGGAAAGGGGAAAGGUAUGUUUUUUCAGAACUUCUGGUUUUCCUGUGGAACUUCGAGUCAGUGACUGCAAAACCGAAAAGACCAAACUGAAUAUUAGAACAGCAAAUGAACGGUCAAAGGAAAUGACUUCCUGAAAGAAAGACCUAGGGAUAGCCUACAGAAAUGAUGCAAGGAUUUCGUGUGACCACCAAAACAAGGAAGAUGGGAGGCUGGGAGUGAUUCAGUUCCUAAUUCCUUACCUUGGAAAACCAUGAAUUCUUGUGAGUAAGCCCAGCCCAAGGUAAUGAAAGUAUAAAAAUAU